GAAUAUUGGACAAUGGGGGGAACCCUGAUCCAGCCAUGCCGCGCGUGUGAAGAAGGCCUUUUGGUUGUAAAUCACUUUAAGCGAGGAGGAGGAGCUCUUGGUUAAUACCCAAGAUGCUUGGACGUUCCUCGCAGAAUAAGCCACGGCGAACUCUGUGCGCGCAGCCGCGGUAACACAGAGGGUGCAAGCGUUAAUCGGAUUUAGUGGGCGUAAAGCGCGCGGAGGUGGCCAAAUAAGUCAAAUGUGAAAUCCCCGAGCUUAACGUGGGAAUUGCAUGCGAUACUGGUUGGCUAGAGUAUGGGAGAGGAUGGUAGAAUUCCGGGUGUAGCGGUGAAAUGCGUAGAGAUCUGGAGGAAUACCGAUGGCGAAGGCAGCCAUCUGGCCUAAUACUGACACUGAGGUGCGAAAGCAUGGGGAGCAAACA
rnacentral:rRNA from 1 species